rnacentral:rRNA from 1 species
ACAGGGAGGAGCCAUCACAGAGAUGCCCUCCUUGGGUUCCUUUAAAUGUUACUAGGACCCCAUGCGUGCUAAAACACACAAAAGGGGUAGGCAAAGUAAAAAAGCCUCUCGUUAAGCCCUUCAUCGGUAUUUUUAGGUUUACACCUAUCAGCCCUUGUACGUAACACAGGCUAUUACGCCUGUCU